GCAGCAGGCGCGAAACCUUUACACUGCACGACAGUGCGAUAGGGGGAUCCCAAGUGCACAGGCAUAGCGCCUGUGCUUUUCGGUACCCUAAGGCGGUACCAGAAUAAGGGCUGGGCAAGACCGGUGCCAGCCGCCGCGGUAAUACCGGCAGCCCAAGUGAUGGCCGAUCUUAUUGGGCCUAAAGCGUCCGUAGCUGGCCACGCAAGUCCAUCGGGAAAUCCACCUGCCCAACAGGUGGGCGCCCGGUAGAAACUGCGUGGCUUGGGACCGGAAGGCGCGACGGGUACGUCCGGGGUAGGAGUGAAAUCCCGUAAUCCUGGACGGACCGCCGAUGGCGAAAGCACGUCGCGAGAACGGAUCCGACAGUGAGGGACGAAAGCCAGGGUCUCGAACCGGAUUAGAUACCCGGGUAGUCCUGGCCGUAAACAAUGCCUGCUAGGUGUGGCUCCCACUACGAGUGGGUGCUGUGCCGUAGGGAAGCCGCUAAGCAGGCCGCCUGGG
rnacentral:rRNA from 1 species